CGCGGCCUAUCAGCUUGUUGGUGAGGUAACGGCUCACCAAGGCGACGACGGGUAGCUGGUCUGAGAGGAUGAUCAGUCACACUGGAACUGAGACACGGUCCAGACACCUACGGGUGGCAGCAGUCGAGAAUCAUUCACAAUGGGCGAAAGCCUGAUGGUGCGACGCCGCGUGGAGGAUGACAGCUCUAGGGUUGUAAACUCCUGUCAUGAGAGAGUAAAGGCUUGCCGUGAAUAGCGGUCGGGUCCUGAUAGUAUCCCAAGAGGAAGGGACGGCUAACUUCGUGCCAGCAGCCGCGGUAAUACGAAGGUCCCAAGCGUUGUUCGAAAUCACUGGGCGUAAAGCGAGCGUAGGCGGCAUGGUAAGUCAGAUGUGAAAGCCCGGGGCUCAACCUCGGAACUGCAUCCGAUACUGCCAAGCUAGAGUAGUGGAGGGGUGUCUGGAAUUCACGGUGUAGCAGUGAAAUGCGUAGAUAUCGUGAGGAACACUAGUGGCGAAGGCGAGACACUGGACACUAACUGACGCUGAGGCUCGAAGGCUAGGGUAGCGAAAGGGAUUAGAUACCCCUGUAGUCCUAGCAGUAAACGGUGCGCGUUUGGUGUGGGCGGGUUCGACCCCGUCCGUGCCGGAGCUAACGCGUUAAGUGCCCCGCCUGGGGAGUACGG
rnacentral:rRNA from 1 species